rnacentral:rRNA from 1 species
UACGUAGGUGGCAAGCGUUGUCCGGAUUUACUGGGCGUAAAGAGCGCGCAGGCGGUCGUUCAAGUCGCGUGUGAAAGCCCCCGGCUCAACUGGGGAGGGUCACGCGAUACUGAUCGACUCGAAGGCAGGAGAGGGUAGUGGAAUUCCCGGUGUAGUGGUGAAAUGCGUAGAUGUCGGGAGGAACACCAGUGGCGAAGGCGACUACCUGGCCUGUUCUUGACGCUGAGGCGCGAAAGCUAGGGGAGCAAACGGG